rnacentral:rRNA from 1 species
GAUGAACGCUGGCGGCGUGCCUAAUACAUGCAAGUCGAGCGAACGGACGAGAAGCUUGCUCCCCUGCUGUUAGCGGCGGACGGGCGAGUAACACGUGGAUAACCUACCUAUAAGACUGGGAUAACUUCGGGAAACAGCAGAUAAUACCGGAUAAUAUUUCGAACCGCAUGGAUCAAAAGUGAAAGACGGUCUUGCUGUCACUUAUAGAUGGAUCCGCGCUGCAUUAGCUAGUUGGUAAGGUAACGGCUUACCAAGGCAACGAUGCAUAGCCGACCUGAGAGGGUGAUCAGCCACACUGGAACUGAGACACGGUCCAGACUCCUACGGGAGGCAGCAGUAGGGAAUCUUCCGCAAUGGGCGAAAGCCUGACGGAGCAACGCCGCGUGAGUGAUGAAGGUCUUCGGAUCGUAAAACUCUGUUAUUAGGGAAGAACAUAUGUGUAAGUAACUGUGCACAUCUUGACGGUACCUAAUCAGAAAGCCACGGCUAACUACGUG